rnacentral:rRNA from 1 species
AUUGAACGCUGGCGGCAGGCCUAACACAUGCAAGUCGAGCGAGCGGCGGACGGGUGAGUAAUGUAUGGGGAUCUGCCCGAUAGAGGGGGAUAACUACUGGAAACGGUAGCUAAUACCGCAUACCCUCAGAUGUACCCAUAUGGGAUUAGCUAGUAGGUGGGGUAAAGGCUCACCUAGGCGACGAUCUCUAGCUGGUCUGAGAGGAUGAUCAGCCACAAUGGGACUGAGACACGGCCCAGACUCCUACGGGAGGCAGCAGUGGGGAAUAUGGCACAAUGGGCGCAAGCCUGAUGCAGCCAUGCCGCGUGUAUGAAGAAGGCCUUAGGGUUGUAAAGUACUUUCAGCGGGGAGGCGUUACCCGCAGAAGAAGCACCGGCUAACUCCGUGCCAGCAGCGGCGGUAAUUC